CUCAACAAAAGUUGGCAGCCCUGAUACCUACAUAUAUAAGUAUUAAAUAAAUAAAAUUUCACCCGAUUUAACAAACAUUUGCCAAUAACAACAAAUAUAAAUCCGAUAUAUUGUGUUGCAAGACCACCUAUGUAUUUAUCCUCCGGAACAUUAGAUAUCAGCAAAUUAUACAAGUAUAUUUAAAGCUGCACUAACCGUUUUGCAGUGUGGCUUUAACACACCAUAGACUCUCAGCAAGCAGUGCAUGGUUGUGGUCUCCGCUAUAAAGCAAGUAUAUUUGCACUACUUGCUUUAUAGUGUGAGUGAUUUGGUGGAAUAUGCAAUUGAUUUUCAAUCACUAAAUAGCUAAAACUGUUUAGUUUCGACCAGCGACCAAUGCAGCGACUAAUAUAUGGAAAUGUAACGUGAGCCCGGGCCCAGCGAUCUAAAAAAGCGACACUUGAAUAAACAUCUGUGCACUUGUUUGUAUGGGAAAAUGCACUCUUCCAGUGACUGGAAGUAGUUUUAAGAGUCUCUGUUAGGUAUAUAAGAGCUUGGAUUUUAAGCAAUAAAGAGUUAGUUUUCAAUCUUGAA